rnacentral:rRNA from 1 species
CUGAAGAGUUUGAUCAUGGCUCAGAUUGAACGCUGGCGGCAGGCUUAACACAUGCAAGU